GAUGAAGAACGCAGUGAAAUGCGAUAAGUAAUGUGAAUUGCAGAAUUCAGUGAAUCAUCGAAUCUUUGAACGCACCUUGCACUCCUUGGUAUUCCGAGGAGUACGCCUGUUCGAGUGUUAUGAAGCUCUCAAAACGCAAUUGGCUUAAAACCUGAUUGUUGUUUUGGAUUUGAACUUUGCCGUGUUAUAACGGCUGGUUUUAAAAGUAUUAGCUGGUACUAGAACGAAUUGGUUCUACUCAACGUGAUAAUUAUCUGAUCGUUGAGGACAUUCCUUUCACGAGGAAUGGCCAUAGUAAAUUCAAUGGACUGCUUCUAAUCUGGCUUUAAUUCUUUAUUGGAUUAACCACUUUUCAAAUCUGACCUCGAAUCAGGUGGGACUACCCGCUGAACUUAAGCAUAUCAAUAAGCGGAGGA
rnacentral:misc_RNA from 1 species